UACGUAGGUGGCAAGCGUUGUCCGGAAUUAUUGGGCGUAAAGCGCGCGCAGGCGGUUCCUUAAGUCUGAUGUGAAAGCCCACGGCUCAACCGUGGAGGGUCAUUGGAAACUGGGGAACUUGAGUGCAGAAGAGGAGAGCGGAAUUCCACGUGUAGCGGUGAAAUGCGUAGAGAUGUGGAGGAACACCAGUGGCGAAGGCGGCUCUCUGGUCUGUAACUGACGCUGAGGCGCGAAAGCGUGGGGAGCGAACAGGAUUAGAAACCCCCGUAGUCC
rnacentral:rRNA from 1 species